rnacentral:rRNA from 1 species
UGGCCUCAAUCAGGUAGGACUACCCGCUGAAC